AUCACUUCUUGGCCUUUUGGCUACGAUCAAGUGUAGUAUCAAAUUCUGCCACUUUAAAAAAAUAAAAUAAAUACACAAUAGGGCAAGGAGACUUUAAUUCAUUUGUGUGUAUGGCUUUUCCACCUUACAGUCUUGGGUUAUAAUAGGCAAAAAAGUGGUAGGGGCCGAUUUGA
ensembl:snRNA U2 U2 spliceosomal RNA